GACGAACGCUGGCGGCGUGCCUAAUACAUGCAAGUAGAACGGAGUUGCGAACGGGAGAGUAACGCGUAGGUCACUGCGUGGGAGCGGGGGAUAACUAUCGGAAACGAACGCUAAUACCGCAUACUACCAGGUGGACCUGCGUUGUAUUAGCUAGUUGGGUGGGAAAGGGCCCAACAAGGCAACGAUACAUAGCCUACCUGAGAGUGUGAUCCGCCACAAUGGGACUGAGACACGGCCCAGACUCCUACGGGAGGCAGCCGUAGGGAAUCUUCCGCAAUGGGUGGAACCCUGACCGAGCAACGCCGCGUGAGUGAAGAAGGUCUUCGGGUUGUAAAGCUCUGUUGUUCAGGACGCGGUACUUAACCAGAAAGGCACGGCUAACUACGUGCCAGCAGCCGCGGUAAUUC
rnacentral:rRNA from 1 species